CCGCGUGAGUGAUGAAGGCCCUAGGGUUGUAAAGCUCUUUCAGCGAGGAGGAUAAUGACGUUACUCGCAGAAGAAGCCCCGGCUAACUUCGUGCCAGCAGCCGCGGUAAUACGAAGGGGGCUAGCGUUGUUCGGAAUUACUGGGCGUAAAGCGCACGUAGGCGGACUUUUAAGUCAGAUGUGAAAUCCCGAGGCUCAACCUCGGAACUGCAUUUGAAACUGGGAGUCUAGAGAUCAGGAGAGGUUAGCGGAAUACCGAGUGUAGAGGUGAAAUUCGUAGAUAUUCGGAGGAACACCAGUGGCGAAGGCGGCUCUCUGGUCUGUUACUGACGC
rnacentral:rRNA from 1 species